AUGGAGACGGUGCAUAAAAAGGAGGCUAUGGGAACCACUUGCCCUGAGGAUAACGGCAAAGGUAAAGAUGGAUCAACCACGGAUGAACAAUACGAUCCGCAGGGACCUCCUUUCCCUCCAAGCGAUCUCAAAUCACUCAAGGAGUGGCUGAAAAAAACAAGUGCCGUACCUGCUAAUUACAAUGCAACAUCCACAAUCGUCCCGGGCCGUACUCCUCAGCGGGUACCUGAAGUCUUCUUCGAUAUAUUACCCCACUUGCGGCCAAUCCUGAAAAAGGAUAGUGUCAGGUCUUUCCUCCGCUUCUUAAAUCAGAAUGGAAGGGACAUGACACUGGGCUACAUCAUCAAACCAGAAGCUUUAAACGAGCUAGUCAUCACUAAUGCACUGCGAUGUGCCAAAGUUGUCUUGGUGGGAAAGAAUCCUGAGCUGCAUGGGUUCCGCGCCGAUCCCAACUGCAUGACUCAAUUUGGGUUCUUCCCCCUGCACCGAGCUGCUGAAAUGUUCUCUGUCGAUAUGAUUGAGUUGCUCUUGCACCAUGGCGCGUCGGCCAAUUUGCGCACAUCCGGUGCUUUAGUCAUUGACAACCUACUCCCGGUCCAUGUUGCGGUUGAGAACACUUGCCUGCAUAAGUACCUGGAAGACGGUCUACAUCCUAAUCGAGAAAAUACGGAUUACAGUGAUGCAGAUGUCAACUAUAUCCUGAAGCUGUCACACCUGAUACACCUGAUACAAGUGUAUCGGUGGACAUUGAGAUCCCACAAAAUCCACAACGGGGUUCGAUCUGUCCGGGGCGGGUACCACGGCGCCGUCCAAGACUUCCUUCAGACCCGGCAACUCCUCACUGCCAUGGGGGAACAAACAGCAAACCUCACCGCCCUGAUGGAGAAGCUUCUCUCGCGAUUCGAGGAGGAGAAGGCAGAGGCAGACAAACGCGCUGAGGUGCAAACCCAAUUCAAUCAGCAGGUGUCUCAGGAGCUGCAGAGUCUGUCGAAACAGAUCGGGAUCACUCAAGCCGAGAUCGAUGACGUGCGGCAGGUGGCAUCUCCGUCGGGCUCGGCCGCUCUGUCCGCCAGAUCCGGCAUCGACAACCCCUCCACCACCGUGCUGCACACACCGCCGCCCAAGGAAGGACCGCAUCAACCCGCACCACCACCACCACCGGGGCUCCGUGCACCCCCAUCUCCGGGUGCGUUGCCCAUGCCACACACGCUCACCGGAGGACCGCAGCCUGCGCGACUGGUCAACGAGGGGCCGCCCCUGCUUCCCAGGCCAGAACCACUGGCCGUUCCGCCCGCGCCUGCCCACCUGCAACAGCCACGGGAGGAUCACGGCAUCAGACCACCUAAACAUCAGUUUCCUCGCUUCGAUGAUGAGGGUCCACGCCUCUGGCUUGAUCGCUGUUUAGCUUAUUUCGAGCUCUAUCGCGUGCCAGAGCACAAUUGGGUGGCCACCGCAGCGCUCUAUGUCGAGGGUCAUGCCGCGCUCUGGCUCCGAGCGUUUCGGCAACAACAUCCAGUUCUUCAUUGGGAUCUGUUCAGACGUGCUCUGGAGGAGGAGUUUGGACCAGAGGAGUUCGAAUCCAUGAUGCACAACCUCUUGCAGUUGAGGCAGACCGGCAGUGUGGUGGACUACAGGCAACAAUUCGAAGUUUACAUGUACAACUUGCUGGCACUGGAUGCAACCCUCAGCCCGAAAUUUUUUGUUACUCAGUUCUUAUUAGGCCUGAAGGAUGAGCUCCGAGCAGCAGUACGCAUUCAAGCACCCAAUAGCAUCACGAGGGCUACAGUUUUUGCAAGGAUUCAGGAAGAAGAGCUUGAAAAUCAGCGUUCCAAGUCGCGACCGGCGCAUACGGGUAGAUCAUCACCACUGCCUUAUACGGCACCAUCACCAGGAAGACCACCACCAGCACCAUCCACAGGGCCUGCGGUGCCCCUGACUCGACCGAUUGCAGCAGCCAAACCAGCUACUGAUGACUUUGGCAGAGAGCGACAGUUACGCGAUUACAGACGCCAACGUGGCCUUUGUUUUCGCUGUGGAGAGAAGUACUCCAGGGAACACCAAUGCAAGCGCUCAGCCCAGUUAUUGACAAUUGAGGUAGGGGAGUAUGGGGAAGUUCUCUCCGAUGACGCGGUACGCGCCCUGGAAUUACUGGAUGAGCCGGCAGCCACAGAAUCAGCCUGCUGCUUACUGUCAGCCAACGCGGUGGAAGGCACCGAAUCCGCGGAAACGAUCAGACUUCGCGCAACCGCUGGCGAUCAGACAAUGUUGUUGCUGGUUGAUUCCGGGAGUACACACAGUUUCGUCAAUGCCUCCUUUGCCAAACGCAUCACGGCAGCGACCAAGCCCAUACCUACAGUAGCUGUCAGAGUGGCUAACGGACAACAGCUACAGUGCACUGAAAUGGUUCCUCGGCUUCAGUGGACGGCACAAGGAUACAAGUUCAGUUCAGACAUGCGUGUCCUGCAACUUGGGGUCUAUGACGCAGUCCUUGGGGUGGAUUGA
rnacentral:rRNA from 1 species